rnacentral:misc_RNA from 1 species
GAUUGGACUUUCAUGAUGAUAGAAAAAAAGAAGCUAUAAUGAAUUAUACAAUGACACCAUUUUGUUUGAUGAACUUAGAAGUUGAUCAGGUAUAUAGGCAUAAAAAUAAAUAGCAGCCAUCCCCACAUUCUUGUCACCAGGUUGCAAUCUAUGUACUAAUGCUUCAUUUUGAACUUCCAAAAAUGAUGCUGCAGUUUCUGAUAUCGCUCCGAUAUUAUUGUCAAUCUAUUAGAACUAUAGAUCCCUUUCAUACUUUUACCAUUCUGAAUCUGAUUCCAUUUCAGUGUUGUUGAACUUCAUGGUUGAGAAUUGCUUGUAAUUUCAGUUACCGAGCUCUGCGUUUGAUGCCAUAGGCAGAAAUCUGCCUGAUUAUUCUACCUAUACUGCAUACAUCCUCUUGUAGUUCUCACUGCAUAGCUCUUGAUCUGAUGCGACAGACAUUGGGAAAGAACGUGAAUUAGUCUCAGUUCUUCGAAUGCUCCUCAACCUUGAUUCUUCUAACCUGUGUUGAACCACACAAUAGCACAUGGAGCCAAUUGUAGUGAGCAUGAUUAUGCAGCCAACCACAGUUGCAUACACAGCAAGCCAUCUUUCCUUAGAUCCAACCACUACAUAACUAAGAGAGAUAAAGGCGACUGAGAUGAAGAGACAAGCUGCCCACAUUAGCUUAUUUAUCCAAAACAUGAGUCGUUUUUUUGCUUUCUGUUCAAUCACGACAACAGACGUCUGGACCACAACAACAGCAACUGAAAUGAACAAUGCCAUACUGUCAAACAAGAAGAAGAUUAUGAAUGCUGCUUUUCUCCCUAUCUGUGCUUCUCCAAGCGAAAAUCCAUCUGUUUUCUUUUCAACAUAUUGCCCAGGUACAGUGAAGAUAGCAGCAAAAGCAACAGUAGCAAUAAGGACAGCAACAACCGUUGCAUUAUUGAUGGCGUUGUUAAGACCACUUAUGUGGAGCUUCUUCACCUUCAUUGCAAUUUUUCGUACUUUGAAGCCAGUCUGCCGACUCUGUUGGAGCUGAGAGUGCACGUCAUGUUUUAUGUCACUGACAGUC